UACGGGGGGAGCAAGCGUUGUUCGGAUUUACUGGGCGUAAAGGGCGCGUAGGCGGUCGUGACAAGUCACUUGUGAAAUCUCCGGGCUUAACUCAGAACGGUCAAGUGAUACUGUCGGACUAGAGUACAGAAGGGGCAACUGGAAUUCUCGGUGUAGCGGUGAAAUGCGUAGAGAUCCGGAGGAACACCAGAGGCGAAGGCGGCCUACUGGGCUGCACCUGACGCUGAGCCGCGAAAGCCAGGGGAGCGAACGGG
rnacentral:rRNA from 1 species